rnacentral:lncRNA from 1 species
AUGCUAAACGUGGGGCGGGCAUCUUUACCUGCAUUAUCUCACCUGGAAUCCUCACAACCAUCGUGCUGCACAGUGGAAGGACCCAAGGCUCAGGGAGCCCAGCGGUGGGGGGGGGUGGGGGGGUGGGGGGAGACAGGCCGACUCGGCACCGGCGGCGGCUCGGCACAGCAGGCUCCGCAGCCCGACCCGUGGCACCUGCUGUCCAGCCCGAGGGGGGCCGACGGGCCCGACCGCUCACAGGCUCGGGACGUGGGGCCCGCGGAGACCCCACGACGUCGGAGCCGCCGCCCCGGCCGCCCCGGCCGCCCCGGCCUCCGAGACCUGUCUGCUCCCGCAGAGCGGCCGGCCGUGGCCACUUCCAGGGGCGGAGGCGGGGCCGCCGCGGAGUUCCGUAGCCACCGCGGGCCGGGCUCCGGGCGCCGAGCGAGGGCCGGCGGCAGCGAGGGCGCCGCGGCGUUUGUGCGGACGCGUCACGGCGAGGCGCAGGCCGUACCGCGCGCCGCCCGGGCGUUUCACCCCGCGCCGCCCGGGCGUUUCCCUCCGCGCGCGGACGGCGCUACUUGCAGCCGCGGCCGCUGGGCGCGAGGGGGUGGGGGCGGGGGCGCGGGCGGGGGCGCGGGCGCGGGCGCCGAGCCGUCGGCGUGGGCGCGGCGUCAACCGUCGACCGCAGCCGCUGGAGGGGCCACGGCGGAGCGCGCGGGCGUCCGGGGGGUCCGCCGCUUCCAGGGCUCGCCGCGCGGUCCCGGCCCCCGGAAGGACGCCGGCCCUCAGGUCCUCCUCGGGGCGAUAAUAUGUGGAGCCUCACUUUCGGGCGGCAAGGGAAACAAAGAUGACGGCGCUUGGCCCGGUGGCGCGGAGGGCCCGCCCGCCCGCCCGCCGCUAUUGUGUGGCCGCCUGACGGAGCAGCAGCGCUAUUUUUCUUACUCCCAACGUGGUGAUCCGGUGGCAGCAGAGGGACUUACAAGGAGGCUUUGUCUGCAGAAGAGCUGCUGCGACACGGCCUCUCCUGAAUGGCCGCCCGGCCGCCUUCCGCGGGCACCGCCCGCAAUUUUUUUUUUUUUUCCCAUAUCAAUUAGAGGGGGGAAAAAUCUGCAUUUUCCUCCCCACCUUUUUCUUCAGAUUUGA